rnacentral:rRNA from 1 species
CUGGGUUCAGAACGUCGUGAGACAGUUCGGUCCCUAUCUGCCGUGGGCGUUGGAUGAUUGAAGGGAGUUGCUCCUAGUACGAGAGGACCGGAGUGAACGAACCUCUGGUGUUCGGGUUGUCACGCCAGUGGCACUGCCCGGUAGCUAAGUUCGGAAUCGAUAACCGCUGAAAGCAUCUAAGCGGGAAGCGAGCCCUGAGAUGAGUCAUCCCUGACCCCUUGAGGGUCCUAAAGGGCCGUUGGAGACCACAACGUUGAUAGGUGGGGUGUGUAAGCGCAGUGAUGUGUUGAGCUAACCCAUACUAAUUACCCGUGAGGCUUAACCAUACAACACCCAAGAAGUGUUCUG